GGGGAUAAAACUGUAACACCGUGUGUCCCAAUCAGACACAACGCGAUAAAAAGUAUCUUUUCCAUGUAGUUUUUGUCCUAACCACCCGCGACAGUGACACGUGACAA